AACGAACGCUGGCGGCAGGCCUAACACAUGCAAGUCGAACGAUAAGCCACCUUCGGGUGGUGGACAGUGGCAGACGGGUGAGUAACGCGUGGGAACGUGCCUUUCGGUUCGGAAUAACCCAGGGAAACUUGGGCUAAUACCGGAUACGCCCUUCGGGGGAAAGAUUCAUUGCCGAAAGAUCGGCCCGCGUCGGAUUAGCUAGUUGGUAGGGUAAAGGCCUACCAAGGCGACGAUCUAUAGCUGGUCUGAGAGGACGAUCAGCCACACUGGGACUGAGACACGGCCCAGACUCCUACGGGUGGCUG
rnacentral:rRNA from 1 species